GACGAACGCUGGCGGCGUGCCUAAUACAUGCAAGUAGAACGCACAGUUUAUACCGUAGCUUGCUACACCAUAGACUGUGAGUUGCGAACGGGUGAGUAACGCGUAGGUAACCUGCCUGGUAGCGGGGGAUAACUAUUGGAAACGAUAGCUAAUACCGCAUAAUAUUAAUUAUUGCAUGAUAAUUAAUUGAAAGGUGCAAUUGCACCACUACCAGAUGGACCUGCGUUGUAUUAGCUAGUAGGUGAGGUAACGGCUCACCUAGGCGACGAUACAUAGCCGACCUGAGAGGGUGAUCGGCCACACUGGGACUGAGACACGGCCCAGACUCCUACGGGAGGCAGCAGUAGGGAAUCUUCGGCAAUGGACGAAAAUCUGACCGAGCAACGCCGCGUGAGUGAAGAAGGUUUUCGGAUCGUAAAGCUCUGUUGUAAGAGAAGAACGGGUGUGAGAGUGGAAAGUUCACACUGUGACGGUAUCUUACCAGAAAGGGACGGCUAACUACGUG
rnacentral:rRNA from 1 species